rnacentral:rRNA from 1 species
UACGUAGUUGGCAAGCGUUGUCCGGAUUUACUGGGCGUAAAGAGCGCGCAGGCGGUCGGAUAAGUCGAAUGUGAAAGCCCCCGGCUCAACUGGGGAGGGUCAUUCGAUACUGUUCGACUCGAAGGCAGGAGAGGGAAGUGGAAUUCCCGGUGUAGUGGUGAAAUGCGUAGAUAUCGGGAGGAACACCAGUGGCGAAGGCGACUUCCUGGCCUGUUCUUGACGCUGAGGCGCGAAAGCUAGGGGAGCAAACGGG